rnacentral:rRNA from 1 species
AUUGAACGCUGGCGGCAUGCCUUACACAUGCAAGUCGAACGGCAGCGCGGACUUCGGUCUGGCGGCGAGUGGCGAACGGGUGAGUAAUACAUCGGAACGUACCCUGUUGUGGGGGAUAACUAGUCGAAAGAUUAGCUAAUACCGCAUACGACCUGAGGGUGAAAGUGGGGGACCGCAAGGCCCCACGCAGCAGGAGCGGCCGAUGUCUGAUGAGCUAGUUGGUGGGGUAAAGGCCCACCAAGGAGACGAUCAGUAGCUGGUCUGAGAGGACGAUCAGCCCCACUGGGACUGAGACACGGACCAGACUCCUACGGGAGGCAGCAGUGGGGAAUUUUGGACAAUGGGGGCAACCCUGAUCCAGCAAUGCCGCGUGUGUGAAGAAGGCCUUCGGGUUGUAAAGCACUUUUGUCCGGAAAGAAAUCGCGCUGGUUAAUACCUGGCGUGGAUGACGGUACCGGAAGAAUAAGCACCGGCUAACUACGUGCCAGCCGCCGCCGUAA